UACAGAGGGUGCGAGCGUUGUUCGGAAUUAUUGGGCGUAAAGGGCGCGUAGGCGGCCUGAUAAGUAGGGGGUGAAAUCUUGCGGCUCAACCGCAAGGCUGCCUUCUAAACUGUCAGGCUGGAGCACGGUAGAGGCAGAUGGAAUUCCCGGUGUAGCGGUGGAAUGCGUAGAGAUCGGGAAGAACACCAGUGGCGAAGGCGGUCUGCUGGGCCGUUGCUGACGCUGAGGCGCGACAGCGUGGGGAGCAAACAGG
rnacentral:rRNA from 1 species